AAUGAACGUUGGCGGCGUGGAUUAGGCAUGCAAGUCGAACGGGCCCGGCCGCAAGGCCGGGUCAGUGGCGCAAGGGUGAGUAAGGCGACGGUAACCAACCCCGGAGUUGGGCAUAGCCGCGGGAAACUGCGGGUAAUACCCAGCGACGUCGGCGGGGGGCAUCUCCUGCCGACCAAAGUCUCAACGCUCCGGGACGGGCCGUCGUGGUAUUAGGUCGUUGGCGGGGUGAUGGCCCACCAAGCCUGUGAUGCCUACCGGGCGUGCGAGCGCGGCCCGGCACACUGGGACUGAGACACUGCCCAGACUCCUACGGGAGGCUGCAGUCGAGAAUCUUCGGCAAUGGGCGCAAGCCUGACCGAGCGACGCCGCGUGGAGGAUGAAGGCCUUCGGGUUGUAAACUCCUGUCGAGGGGGAGGAAGGCGCAAGCUUGACCGAUCCCUGGAGGAAGCACGGGCUAAGUUCGUGCCAGCCGCCGCCGUAACAC
rnacentral:rRNA from 1 species